rnacentral:rRNA from 1 species
CGGAUCCCUGAAAACCGGUCUCAGUUCGGAUCGCAGUCUGCAACUCGACUGCGUGAAGGUGGAGUCGCUAGUAAUCGCGGAUCAGCAACGCCGCGGUGAAUGCGUUCCCGGGCCUUGUACACACCGCCCGUCAAGUCAUGAAAGUGGGCAGCACCCGAAGACGGUGGCCUAACCCUUGUGGGGGGAGCCGUCUAAGGUGAGGCUCGUGAUUGGGACUAAGUCGUAACAAGGUACC